rnacentral:lncRNA from 1 species
UAUUAUUAUUAUUAUUAUUAUUAUUAUUAUUUUUAAAAUAAAGGUGGUAUGUUAUUCCUUUUGUCUAUUAUUUUUAAAAAUAAAUUAGCUGGAAAUGCAAAUCAACUAAAAUUCGAACUCAACAUUUUAGAUACCAACCAUCAAACUCUUUGCCACUUGCACUAUAGUAAUAUUCGAAAAUACGUAUGCGAUAUUUAUGCGAUAAUCUAUCGAAUAAGACAUAUAUAGUAUGUAGACGUAUCUGUGAUCUAUCUAUUAAAAUAUUUAUGAUUUUAAAAAAUAUAUAUAAAUAUUUUAACUAAAGUAAUAAUUCAAAAGUUAAACUAAUUA